rnacentral:tRNA from 1 species
GCAUUGAUGGUUCAGUGGUUGAAUUAUCCCCUUCCAUGCAGAAGACCCAGGUUCAAUUUCUGGCCAAUGCA